CUUCCUGAUUGUCUCUUCCUACCAAAAUAAGAGUUUAAUGGUUCAGUGGCGCAUAUGGUGAUGGUGUGGGAGCCAGGAGUUCUGGGGCAGAAGAGGAGGCUGGUCCUCUUGUGGGUCCCCGAGAAGUAAUGGGAUCGAGAGCACAGGAUAUCUGUACCUGAAAUUGGCGAGGGCACCAGGUAUGAAAGUUUCCUCUCCUUCUUGUACUUUCUAGGAAAAAUGGAAUAAGGUAAUCUCAUGAGAACAGACAGCAAAUUCAGGUAAAGGCCUUGAAAUAGCACCUGCAUAGAAUAGACAGUGGAGGAAAUACUAACGAUUACCAGAAGGUAGGAAAAGAAGUAAUCAUUCUCUCCAUGAACUGAACGGAAACUUUGCUACACCGGGCCCUAACCGGGCGGACAGCUGAGCUCCCCAAGGCCACGCAGCUACCUGGUGACUGAUUCAAGGCUGGAGACCUGGCUUCCUGGUCCUGGAGCAGUCUCCCUUAUGCUCACCUCCUUCCCUGCAGGAAGAGGUCCAGGACCAAGAAGGGGCCUCAGAGCAGUGAUGGCCCCUGGAAUUGCAGUAGCCCUUCGAUGGCUCCCUGACCGCUACAGAUCCCGUCUUACGCUGCUUCGUUCAUUCAUUCUGUGAGGCUGUCUCCAGAAAAUACAGAAAGCUCCAACAGUCUUUGUUUUUAAAGGAUUCAAUUGCAAUAGGGGCAAAGAUAUGCAGAGGUAUAAGUUAUGCAGCAAGAUAAUCAUUUGUAUAAAGUGAAAUGCAUCAGAGAAUUUAGGUGCCUCUCUAUGAGCAAUCAGAACCCAUCUACAGAGCUUCUGACAAGGUUAGUAAAUUUAUGAAUGACUAACAUGAAUGAAGCCAAAAAACAAACAGACAAAAAAGAUGCAGAAUACUUGGAGAUUACAGCAAGAAGAAAAAUAUCUGCCUGGAAAGAUCAGAAAGGUCUUCAGAGGAAGUGGUGUUGGAUGGGGGCCUUGGGCAUGAUUAGGCAACAGAAUUAGAAUGUGACAUUUCCCCUUCUCCAUAAAGCAUUACUUUCUAAAUGUAAAUAUAUGAAUACCUGUAUAAAGGUAAUACAUUUUUUAUGAAAUACAGAAAAAAGGUGAGUUAAAAGUGAGUCCAAAAGGCAAGUGUUCCGGGCAUUUCCAGUCUUGUUCUUCCCAAGGCUGAUGAAGAGGAGGAGGGCUUGUUUCCAGAACUACGAUCACGCAGGAACGCCUCUCUUUCUCUGAGUCACAGAGGAAGGCCGUCCUCCUGUGGAAGCGCUGCAGUGAUCGGAUUUGGAGAUUUCUGGCUCCUGCUGCCACCCGUGACUUGUGCGUCUGGGGAGACCCUGAAGACCCAGUGGGAUAGCACUGCAUGGGCUGGGAGAGGCCACUGCAGGGCUCUGGGCUGGGCAGGACAAAGGGAUUAGAACUGGGGAGGAGGAGCUUGGGUGGGUAACCAAGCAGCUCUGCAUCUUUUUCUUCUCACCAGGAAUGAAGGGGUGCCCAUUUGUUCACAGCCACAUUAUCUGUCUCCUGAUUAGCGCUGUCCAGGUGGGGUGACGCAUUAUCUUACUGUGGCUAUGAUUUGAGUCCCCUGUGGCUAAUGCAUCUUUUCAUGGGUUCUUCAGCCAUGCGUGUAUCUUCUUUGGAGAAAGGUCUGUUCUGAUCCUUUAUUCAUUUUAAAACUGAGUGAGUUCUUAGUUUUUACUCCCUGUUAUUUGUUUUCUUUUCAUUACAAAUGCAUCCUGCAUUCUUAACUCGAGGAUGUUAGUCCAGAAACAACCUUUACCACCAAGAAACCAAGGUCACAUAUUUUUUUCUAAGAGUUUUACAGUUUUAGCUCUUCUACGCCAGUCUGUGGUUUAUUUUUAGUCAUUCUUUUUCGUAUGGUUAAAAAAAAAGGAGUCUAAUGUCACUUUUUAAACAUCAGUUUUUAGAACAGUUUUACAUUUAGAGAAAAUUUGGGAACAUGGUACCUAAAGUCCCUUACACUCCAAUGCCCAGAGUCUCCUAUUAGUAUGACAUAUUUGUUAGAGUUAAUGAACCAACAAUGGUACAUUAUUAUUAACUAAAGUCCAUGAUUUAUUCAGAUUUCCUAAGUUCUAUAGAGAAAAUUUUUUCUGUUUCUUCAGGAGAGACGUUGUGUCUCGGAUUUUUCUGCCUGUGUAGUGUAGUUUGUCAGUGUUUUCUUGCUUUUGUAGACCUUCAUGGUUUUGCGAGGAGGAGCCCCCGUCAGGUGGAUUGUAAAUGUGGUUGUAAUGCAUCCCUCCAUUGUGACUCACAGAUGUUUUCCUUGUGGUUAAACUAGGCCAGUGGUGGUGAACCAGUGGCACGUGGUCUGCAGUGAGCUCCUUCCUGGCACGCGUGCCAGGCUGUCCCAACACCACCCCAGCAGCCCCAGAGUCCGAUGAUCAUGUACUUAGUAGCGGUGCUAGGUGAGGCUGUCAGGAGGGGUUUGGGCACUGGGGCUCUGAAGGCUCAUCAUCCCCAACCGAGGAUUACAGGGCUUCAGACCAGAGCUGUGAAUUUUUCAUGGGAGACCCCAGAGAAGAAGAGACGUUUCCACCACAGCAUACUGAGUGCAACACUGUCAACCUGACAUUACCAUCGAUGCUGACUUGGAUCACCUGAACAAGGGUUAAUGUGACCGUGGCUGCCAGAGCGAUCCGAGGAUCCAGCAGGCUUGGUUUUCGGAGGAUGAAACGUGAGCACGGGUGAGCGGAGCAAUCAGGAGCAGAGCCAGGGAUACGGCUACAAAUGAAGGUGCACCAGCAGGGCUUCUGCUUCUCUUUCCCUCCACGUCCCUUGAUGUCACCUUUGUCUUUGCUCUGAAAUGUGGCAUGUUAGAAGAGACUUCUAAGUGACCAUGACCUCCUCAGCCUGACUGUGGCUAAACGCAACUUUUGACCUCUCCCCCAGAACAGUUAGGACAGAGUUAUUCUCUUUAUUGAACUCAAAGUUUCCUGUGGUUACUCCAUGUCCGUAGGUGAGUCCUCACCUGAGUGGUGCAUCCCAGAUAACUGUUUUCUGUACAGUUCUUUUUCAGACAUCACCGUUAUUCACUUUACCAUUUCAAAGGAAAUUUUUCUAUAACAAGGACACCCUCAACAGAGGCCAACAAGCAUGGUGUUUUCUGCAUGGUUCAAGGUCAUCAUUAAACUUUUCCCUUUCUUCCAAAACCAUUUGUUAAGCAGACAUUAAAGAAAGUUAAUGUCUUUGAUAGACAAUGCAAUUUCUGUAUGAAACAGGAGUGGUGUCAUUUUCAUUUACUUUUAAAUAAUUAGAAAUUUCAAUUUUGAUAUUACCUUUAUCAAAGAAUUAGAAGUGACCUAAAAUCUAUGUACCUGGGGUCAAUUUUUUUAAUGAACAUUAUAGCAUAUGUGACUUGUUCAAGGUCAUAAGAAGGUAGCUUCUGAAGCCAGGGAUCUGGAAUAGUUCUUAUGAUGCCACCAUUCAUGACUCAUUCCAUUCAGGGGUGUGUUCUAGUGCAAUUGGAGGUUCUUGGAACCUCCAAUUUCAGUGUAAAGUUAAGGAAUUGAUUAAACACUAUGUAAUCUCUGACUUCCCACCUAUGUUAAAAAUUUCAAGGCUUCACAUUACCUUCCAAACUUCAUCUUUCCUAACUCCUUUAUACAAAUCUAUCUUCAUUUUUCAUAUGUUUAUACCAUUUUUGCUAUUAGAGGUACAUUUCAAUAUCAUUUCAGAAAGUAUAAAGUUCAAUAUUAAAGUACUAAGGAGCAAAAGACCCUUUUUCCUUUCCUUAAAUGGAAUUAAUUCAGUGUUUCUUGUUCCAUAAAUUGUCACUGAUAAUUAUUAAUUUGAUGAAAUCAUUUAUGUACAAAUACUACAAGACAAUGAGAAAUUACAUAGCAAUAGAUAAAAUCUUAGAAUAAAAUACUCUGAACUAAGUAUGCACAAAUGAAUAAGAUAUAAGAAUGUAAUAGAAAAGCACUUAUGCCCGAGGAGUUAAUUAUGCAUGCCCCUAGAGGUAAAAUUAUAUUAGAAUUACUGCCUCUCCAUUCUGUUUGAGUUCAAAGACCUUCAUAUUAUGCUUUGCUUUUACAUUGGGAAUUUUUCCCUAAAUGUAACUCUUUUAUAAUCUUAAUUACUUUAUCAUUUCUUUCAAGAAAAGAUUUGAAAUACUAGGAUGUAACUUAUGAUUAUGAAGCUUUACAAAAUUCCAAACUGAGAUUCUUGAUCAGAAUCAUCUUAGCUUGUGCUUUUCUGUGUAGUUUGUUUUUGUAGUAUCACCAUUUUUAUUUGCUUUGCCAUUUUAAAGGAAAUUUUUCUAGAAUGAGGAAAUCCUCAUCAGCAGACAACAAACACAAUUAUUUUCUUCAUGAUUUAAGAUCAUCAUGAAACAUUCUUCCUUUCUUUCAAAAUCAUUUAUUUAGUAGAUACUGAAGGAAGUCAGCUACACAGACUCUGUGUAGAACAGGAGUGGCGUCGCUUACAUUUACUUCCAGUAAUUGGAAUUUCAAUUUUGACAUUAUCAAUGAAUUAUUUAGGAGGGACUGAAGUCUAGACACCUGGGUUCAGUUUUAAAUUUUGAAUUUUAAUAUACAGUAGUCAGUAAUGUGUGUGUAUUUGUAACUUUCUUUAUGGCUUUCUGUAGGACUCAUAUUUUUGCAAAUGUUACCUGGAUGAAUGUGCAGACUGUGUAUUCUUCGUUGGAGAUAAGUUCUAUUAGCAUAAAACCGUUAACUGUGGUAUUUAAACACCAGCCUCUGAGUGCAGGGAUUCCAGGUGUGGCCCCAUUCCUGGGUUUUGUGGGUUUACUUUGCUACCCACUCGCUUGUUUGAGCAGAGGGAGGGCAGGAGCGGGAAAACGCUGUCUAAUCAUGACCAUGAAAAGCUGUGGCCCUGGAUGAUGGGUUGGGUUGUGCAGCAGGCAAGGUCCUGAGACCAUGAGGGGAAAGCAGAAACCGCUCGGAAUCUGGGGUGCUCUCCCUGGGGACGUGUCCAUCAGCCAUGCGGGAAGAGAGGUGGGCAGGGCAGAGGACCAGAACGCCUGCCCUGUUUUCACAUUGUGCCUACAGCGAGGGUCCACCGCUCUGCGUCCAGUGCCUCAGUGCGGGCAGCACAAGGAGACCCUGGUGGCCAGCCGGUGCCCAGCCUGGACUCCUGUUGCUCUGAUCUGAUGUUCUGGAGCCCACACAGCUGGUCAAGUUCCAGGAGCGGCUCCUGAGUGCACAGGGGGUGUCACCUGAAUCGUGGCAUGCAGAGCAGCUUCCUGUAACCGAAACAAUCACCCGAGCUAGGUUGUGCAGGAAAUAAGCUUCUUGGGUGUUUUCCUGGCGCCACAGGAGCACAGUGCUCUGGGCUGCAAGCUGUUAGGCUUUCUGAGCUGAAGAAGUUUACUUGGCAAGAAGGCUGACAUUGUUUUAAUAUGAAAUGAGUGUCCCAUUUAUUUAAAAAUCUGACAUUUUCAAGGAUAUCACAUAGAUCUUUUGCAGUUGCUCAGUGUAAUAAAUUACAAUUGUUACAGUAAUCAAGUCCUCAGAGUACAAUUAUAUUUAAUAAAUAAGACCAUGACAUUGUGUUGAAUGUCAUGCUGGAUUUUACCGUUUAUAAUUUUAAGUAUACUCAAAUAUUUUAUUGGCUUGUAGUUUUCUUUUUUUUUAGCCUAUCUUGUCCACUUUUGACAUUGAGCUUAUGCUAAACAUAAACAGAAAUUUCUCGGCUUUCUCUUUGGUCUUAAAUAAUUUAUAUAUCAUGAAUUAUGGGAGCUCUGUUUUCUGAAGGAUGUAGUUUUUGUUCUCAUUCUAAUUUGUUAAAUUGUUAUUGACACAGUCAUGUUCUCCAUAUUUUGUUGACUCACUCUUGGUAACAUCUACUUUCUCAUUAACUUAUUUUUUUAUUUAGGUUGUCAGAUUUGUACUAUGUCCCUUCUUUUUUAUUGAGAAUAUUUUUCAGCCUGUAAUCCCAGUACUUGGGAGGCUGAGGCAGGAGAAUUGCUGUGAAUUCGAGGCCAGCCUGGGCUACAAAGUAAGUUCAAGGCCAGCCUGAACUGCGUAUUGAGACCUUGCCUCAAAAAGACAAAACAAACAAAAUAAACAAAACGUAAAAGAAUAUUUUUCAUAAACAGUCACAUCUCCUUUUAAAUAUCUGUUAUGCAGUCUGCUUUCUGCUUGAAGCUUCAGAGGGUUUAUUUAUGAACAGAGAAUGUAAGUUUUAACAAAUUUCUUGUUGUCUGGAUUAUUUUUACUUCUAUUUUUAUUCUUUUUUAAUUUUAUUUUUUCUAAUACUAUAUCUUGGUGCUGUUCAUUUAGUUUGUCUUACCAGAAGACAUUUGAGAUUGGAAACUUUCUUAUAUUCCACAAGUAUUGAUUUGUAGUAUUAUUUCAGUAUUUUAUUUUAUUUUUUUGGUACCAGGAAUCAACUUUAGGACCUUGUGCUUUCCAGGCAGGUUCUUACCCUGCUGAAGCUAUAUCCUUGGCCCUAAGUAUUUUAAAAUUAUUCUUUUAAUUCAUAAAAUUCAUCAUGAAAAAUCUAUCAGAAAUGACAUGCUGUGUACCUAUUGCUAAUUGCUACCAAAUAGAAUAUCUUUACAUCUCUCCAUAGCUUUUGGAUUAUGUCGGGCUGGACCUUACUUCUCUUAAGCCAUACUGUGUAAAUGAACAAGGAACCCAGCCAACACCACGCUCCUCUCCAGCCAUCUUGGUAUUAUUGAGAUCCAACUAUAAUCAUACACAUCACUUUUACAAUGAUAGUUCUACUAUAAAAAAGGAGUCUAAUAUUUUUAGGUAAUCUUUUUCUUUUGCAUUAUUAAUUAGAAAAUACACAUAUCAAAUUAUAUCUGCAUUCAAACAUUUGAAUUUUAAAAUUAUCAAAAUACGAGGGCCUUAAGCUAUAAAGACUGGUAUACUUUAUUUUAAAUAUAUAAUUUGCCUUAUGUGUAAAAUGAAGUGUCUUAUUAAUUUGAUAUGAUGACUUAUGUUUUAUUAUCUUUAUCUGUAGAAUUAGUCCAGCUAGAAAUUUAACAUGAUUAUGAAAAACCUUAACUAUUUGAUUUACGUAUUUUACUUUAUUUUGGUUCCGGUGUUGAAAUCAAAUUAUACUCCUAAAUUAUAUCCUCUGUGUAGCUAUAGGGGUUUAAAGAUACAGUUUUGUCUGUGCUUCUCUAGUCACUUCAUAUAUUAGAACUAAAGUUAAUAAGCUUCCUCUCUACAUCAAAACAGUUUGUGAUAUGGAUUCCAGCAACAAAAGUUAUAUGCUUUGUGAUAUUUGGCAAAUAUCUUAACUUUUCUGUGCUUUCUUCAAAUAUAAAGUAGGUGUAAUCAUAAUAACUAUCUCCUGGGAUUUGCCCAAGAGUUAAGAGGUCAUGAUAUAAAGAACUUAGACUGCUCCUGGGCCAAGUGUUAGCGCUGAGUGUGUUAGCUAUUUUUAUUACAAUCUAACAGGGAUCAUAGAUGACUCUAUUGAAAGCUUUAUUGCUAAUUUUCUUCUCAUUUUUAUAGUGCCCUUUCUGUGUGAGGAACAUUAUAUAUAAAUUAUCAUUAUCUUCUUCCAAAUCCACUGAUGUACGGUUAUUACUUUCCACAUGAAAAUCUAAGAAAAUCAUUGUUCAAAUUCACAAGGUAGCGAUGGAAUUGGUAUUUGAAUCAUCAUCUGUCUGUCACUAAUAUGUUUUCCCCCCCGUAUCAUUCAGCCAUGACUUCAUGAAAUCCACUCUCUUUCUGCCAUUGUUUGUCUUUUUAUGCUGAGAGCGUUGCUCUUCACAGCAGCCACGCAGCACCAUUGUCCUGGGACUGGACUGCAGGUAAGUGAUGACGUUAAUGAGCUACCGCAACUCAUCUCUGCGUAUUCCAUGUAUUUCACCAAAAAAUACUCAGCCUUUGCAUUUUUCUCUAGGUCUCCUCCUUUCAAACAGGUAUGUAAGAGUUUCUGUCUCUAGCUUUUUGAGCAGCUGCUUGGCUUCGGUGCUAUGUAGAAGCAAAUGCUUACUAAUGAAUAUUGCAUCGGAUCCAGGAGUCCCAGUUAGAAUAGGAGGAAAAUGACUGUUCUUCAAUAUGGGGAAAAGAAGAGUGCUCCCUUGACCUUAGUGUUACUGGGGUUUUGUUUGUGCUGAUCAGAGACUCCUGCUCAGACUGAGUCUGCAGACACGUGCUCAAGCCUUCUUCAUCACUUCUCUGGGAUGCCCACCAGCCACCUCUCCCACCGAGCAUUUCAAGUAUCUGUUUGGUCUCUUCAACAGUGACUUCUGUAGUGCUCCUUUGACAUCUGCAUUCCCCAUGUGCUCUCCUGAGCGGGAACAUGUAAUGGAUGUUAUCUUGGUGCUAUGAGAAAAGCUGGAUUCUGUGUUCUUAACCCCCAAAUUGCAUAAAGUCUACAUUUGUUUUUUAUCAUUUUGAUUAUAAAGUGUAGCAGUCAGUGGUAUUAAGUGCAUUCACAUCAUUUUGCUUCCAUCACUGCUGUUUACUUACAGGUUUUUCAUCAAUCUAAAUUGAAACUCUGCCCACUAAAUCCCACUGUCCGUCUCCCAAACCCUGAGAGCCACCAUUCUGUGUAAGUACCGUGCACUAAACGAUCGUGCCCCUGGAGCUCCAGAACCUCCAUUCUGAUCUCCCUGAGUCUGACUACUCUAGAUAUGUCAAAUAAAUGGGAUCACACUGGUUUUGUCUCUUUGCAUCUGAUUGAUUUCAUUCAGCACAAUAUCCUCACGGUUCUCCCAUAUUAUAGCAUGUGUUAGAAUUUCAUUCCUUUUCAUGUAUUUAUUUUUAUCAGUGGACAUUGAGUUUUUAAACCCAUUUAUGCUGUCAACAAUGGUGCUGUAAACAAUGGUGCUACACACUUCAGUUGAUUACAUUCUCCCUAUUCUUUGGGUAUACAUGCAGAAGUAGAAUUGCUCAAAGUUUUGGCAAUUCCAUGCUUAAAUUUUUUGAGGAAUUGCUCUGCAGCUCUCCAUAACUAAUGCAGCAUUUUGUAUUCCUAUCAACACAAGGAUCUUAAUUUCUCUUUACCAUCCCAAUACUUUAUAAUAAUUGGCCUAAAUAUUACGUCUGUAUUACAAAAAGAUAAAUUGGAGUUUAUAAAUGUUAUAUCGUUUGUCCAAGGAAAUAUUGGAAAAUGUGGAAAAGUGGAAAAGUCAAAACCAUAACUCUAUCCCUGAUUCUUUUUUUUUUAAAGCAGAAUUAAAUCAUCUGUUGUUUUUGAAAGUCUUCUCCACAUACUCAGUGUACUCUGAGUCACAGGAAAAGGCAACACACAUCAAGAGAGGGCUUCAGAAAUGGAGACCUUUCUCUUCUCCUGUGUUUCUCAAGAGGAACUGGGGACUGUUGGCACCCUAGACCUGGCAUGAUGAACAAAAUCCACAGACCACCGUUCUUCUGUUCUUACUUACUUGACUGUUUUCUCUCAGUUUUAAUUGCCUGGAUUUUAGUGUCUGUGGUAAGAUCUUUGGGGUAAUGUCACACACCUCUGAAGUCCCUCUGCUGAUUGCAGGCUGUGCACUCCAAGCAGUGACAGCCGCUUCUGGAAAGUGAAGAGGACAGGAUUUUCUUGGCUCAGCCAGGACCUCACAGAGACUGCUGUGCCGUGUAAACUUGCAAACAGCUGGCUCGAUUUCACAAUUUUCACAUCCAUUUCAUUUACCGUACUGGCCUUCUUCAAAAAAGUCUCUGUCCGGUAUACUUAGAUGUCCUGUGUGAUCAGUUGUAAAACAAGAUUUAAACAUCUGAAGUGUGAAAGUACGAUUUUCUUUUUCAUUUUAUAGCAUUUAAAUAAUUUUACCAUUUAAUUUUAAUCACAAAAGAACACGCUAAACAAAAGGUGUGGUGAUAGAAUUAUGAAAAAAUUCAAUGCUUUUAUACAUGUUGAAAUGUUCUGCAGUGAAAAUGCAUUUCACUUGCUUUGUGAGUUAUAAACAAGGUUUUAAAGCACCUCAUGAGCCGCGCUGGGAAUUGUGGAACGCUGUGACCUUGCAUCUCUAUCAAGCCCUCACCUCUAAAAUGAGGUCAGCACUGACUUAGAGGUUGUUGACUACUUUGGAGUUUCAUGACUCAAUGAAAAAUCUGCACUCAUCAUUGUUUAGAAUUAGUUUUUAAAAAAGAACUGAAAGGAAAACAAUAAGAAAAGAACUUUUGCAAAUGAGAAGAGGAGCAAGAGUUGGAGGGAGCAGGAGGAGAGGGGCAGGAGUAGGGGAAGGAUAUUGAAAACAAGAACCGAGAUGUGAUCCAUACGUGUAUCAACAACCACAAUAAAUGUCAUCGUGAUCACUGCAAACAUGAACCAACAACAAAGGGGAAAUAGAUUUCUAAGUGCCGGGAGAUGACUUCCAAACUAAUUUUAUCAUCUACAACCCCAGAUUUAGGGCUGGAACUUCCUGUGGAGCCUCGAUCUGAGGAGUGGAGGUGACGGCCAGGACAGGAGCUCACAGCAUCAACGCUUCGUCUUUGUGUUUCUCUGGUGUUUUGCUCUGGGUGUCUAAGCGAAAUGCUCUUUGUUCUGUGUUCCAGAGUCAGAGGCAUCUGUGCCACGUGGCAUGUAGAUUUAUAACUCUGGCCAAAGGUUUCAACAGAUACAGAUUUUUUCAAUCCAAAGUCCACUUGUGUGUGUGUUUUCAGAAAUUAAAACAAUACGUUUCUGUCUGCUUCUCUCUUAGCCCAGGAGCCCGUGGGACCUUGGCAGUGGUGAAGGACUUCUUACAGGUCUGGUGACAAUGACCGUCUCCAGCAGGCUGGGGCUGCCUUGAGGUCACACAGGGCUUUACUUAUUAUUGUCUUUUUUUGAACUGAGGUGGUAUCUGCCUUGAGACAGGCCGUGUCUAGAAACAAAGACACUGUACCUGUUACGAUGCUUCCUAAGUUGGCUUAAGUGGAAAUAAUCUAAAGUCUUCUUGCCUGACAGUUCACUAUAAUGUUGUAAUUGGAGGAGUUACCCAGCAAAAGUAUGAGUUAAAAAACAAAGAGGACAAGGGCUAGGAUUAGGUCUGGAAUAUGCAAAGAACGCCAGACAGUUUCUUAUUUAAUACCCACAAUCUAGGUACACGAUCUGAAAGAUGAAUCAGAAUCUUCGAUGGCUCAAUUACCCUGACCCCCACCCUGCCACACUCCUCCCAUGCAGACAGGUGACGGCUACGGUGCACGAGUUCUUCCACACCCUGCGGGUGUCACCGAGCAAUUUUUUUUUUUUUUAGCAUCUCACAUAUACAUGGCUGGACUAAUACAUAAAUCUUACGGGGGUACCCAAAAAGGAAAACAUGGUUCACGUGUCUGAAGUCUGCUAAACAACACUUCAGACAAAUUUCACUCAGAGUCAGCCUAAUGAAACUGAAACCUCUCUAGUGCACAAGUAUGUGUAAGAAAUCCACUUUGAGUCCAGCCCAAAGCUGGUGAAGCUAGGUACUACAGUACAGGGUGGUUUACCACUAGGUUUUGUGGCAGAACCCAGGUAUGCAGCUAACCUUUGAAUUACCUAAUCUGGGAAGGUGCCGGUUGACCUAAGAAACAGCUGAAAAUGAAACUCUGUGCACCAGAGAUGGAAAAGUACACCUUCUUAUAUUUUCAUAAGAAAUCCUUGAAAACGAAAGUGAUAUGAAUCAGUUCUGUUUUGCUCUUGAGAAGUUUACCAUCUAGAAGGAAAGCAAACAAAGAGUAGCAACCUUAAAAAAUAAUUUAAGUGCUGUCUAAGUGUAUAUCAGGGGACUCUCAGAACUCGCAAUCCAGACAGAAGGUGAGGGUCAGAGAAGGGGAGGGUCUCUAACUAGUUAUAAGAAAUUCAGAGCACAGUUGUUACAUCUUUUUUUGAAUAUGACAGUUGCCAUCUAAAUAAAUCAAACAAUAAGAAAGAACUAAUGCUUGAUACAUUGUUUUAUUAUUUUUAAAGUUGUAUGUAUUUAUGGGGUACAGUGUGAUCACUCAGUAUCUGUAAUGAUCAAAUCAUGGUAACAUUUGAGUUUUCUUAAACACUUACCAAUUCUUUGUGUUGGGAAAUGUCAAAGCCUUCUAAAGGAUUAAAAUUCUUUGCCAAAUGUGUAAGAAAUUGCUUUCAUCUGUGGUGUCAGUAUUUUUGGGAUCUCAAUACCUUUCUCUUGAAUUAAUACUCUUCCUUAAUUUUUUAAAAUAAUAAUUCACUUCUUUCACAUCUUCCAAA